CCCUAUGGGGCGCAGGAGCUCCGGCAGGAAAGUCAGGAGCACGGUUCCGGCCAAUCCCCCCCAUAGGCUUCCCAUGCCGCCCACCACCACCAUCGUCACCAGUUGGACGGAAUAAAAAAUGUCAAAGGUCUUUGGGCUGAUGAAGGUCAUGUAAUGCGCGUAACAGAAGCCGGCAAGGCCCGCAUAGACGGCGCCCAGGACGACGGCGACGACCUUGUACCUGAAUGAGGGAAUGCCCAGGGCCUGUGCAGUGAGGUCUUUUUCGUGGAUCGCCUUGAAAGCCCGCCCCAGGCGUGAAUCGUUCAGAUUCAGUGUCAGGGAGAGUGCGACCACGAAAACAGUCCAGAUGAAAUAAUAAAACCGGCGAUCGGUGUUCAGAGCGAAAGAGCCGAGGGAGAGC
rnacentral:rRNA from 1 species